UGCUGGCCUCAUAAAAUGAGUUAGGGAGGAUUCCCUCUUUUUCUAUUGAUUGGAAUAGUUUCAGAAGGAAUGGUACCAGCUCCUCCUUGUACCUCUGGUAGAAUUCGGCUGUGAACCCAUCUGGUCCUGGACUUUUUUUGGUUGAGAACAGAAAUGAACUCAAACAGACAUUGACGAAUAGGAGAAUAAUGUCAUUAAAAACAGGAUGACUCUUGGUGAGGAAAAGGGCACAACAGUACGUCAAGAGCCCCCGCAGCCCACGCCACAGAGAGGAAUGACUAGGCAGGAGUGGAAAGGAAAAGGCCAGCAGUUGGUGAUGAGUCAGCAGUACUUUUGCUAAAAAUGCUAAUCUAAUACAGCAGUGGGAAGUGUUGGUGAGCAUGUGAUCAUCGAGGCCGGGAAUGACUCCUUCCUCUCUGCAGCUCUCAGGAGUCCCUGUUGAAGGACCAGGAUGGGCUUUGGUGCCCUAUAGACCUCUGUGUGUUGUUUUGGGGUGUGGAUCCUCCUCUAAUUAGGAAAGACAGCUAGAAGGCAGGCUCAGAAGUCUGCCUCAACUCGCACUUCCGAAAUUCACAUUGGCCUGUGUGUAAGAGAUCUAAGAAAUGAAAAUGUGUAAUAUUCUCCCUCAUCUUCAUAUUAAGAUAAUUUCUUAGGACAAAAAUGAUUUUUAAACACAUCCCUUACUCCAUCGAUAUCUGAGCCUGAUCACUCAGGAAGUGAUAAUGACACCUUUGUUUUUUUUGUUUUUUUUUUUUAAUCACUUGUAACCGCUGUGUUGUAGGCAGGCAAAUACUUAACUGUGAAAGUGACAUAUUCUUGUUUUAUUCCUAUACUUAAAGCAAAAGCUACUUACUUAGAGUGUAGGUCAAUUUAGAUCUGCAAAAUAGAAUACCAUUUUAGAUGCUUUGAGGUAGUGCUCCUGUAACAGAAUUGUUAGUAAUUUUAGAAGAUUAGUGAAAUAUUUUAUUUUGAAAACCAUUAUGGAAUUCCAUGUUUGUUUCUUUCAAUGGAUAAAUUUAAACAUAUAUCAGAUGGAUAGAUUAUUGUAGACUUUUUCAGGGAUAGUUAUUUUUCCAUCAGCAGUACUGUUAGACUACUCUAUGCAGAAUACAUCUACUAGAAUGACUUAUUUCCUUUUUUGAAAAAAAAAUUGAAUUUUAAGUUCCAGGAUACAUGUGCAGGACGUGCAGGUUUGUUACAUAGGUAAAUGCGUGCCAUGGUGAUUUGCUGCAUCUAUCAACCCAUCACCUAGGUAUUAAGCCCCACAUGUGUUAGCUAUUUAUCCUGAUGCUGUCCCCGCACCUUCCAUCCCCUACAGGCCCUAGUGUGUGUUGUUCCCCUCCUUGUGUCCAUGUGUUCUCAUUGUUCAGCUCCCACUUGUAAGUGAGAACAUGUGGUGCUUGGUUUUCUGUUCCUGCAUUAGUUCGCUGACUAUAAUGGCUUCAAGCUCCACCUAUGUUCCUGCAAAGGACAUGAUCUCCUUCGUUUUGAUGGCUGCAUAGUAUUCCAUGGUGUAUAUAUAUAUAUAUAUAUAUGACAUUUUAUUUAUCCAGUCUAUCAUUGAUGGGCAUUUGGGUUGAUUCUAUGUCUUUGCUAUUGUAAAUAGUGCUGCAAUGAACAUAAGUGUGCAUGUAUCUUUAUAAUAGAAUGAUUUAUUAUAUUCCUUUGAGUAUAUACCCAGCAAUGGGAUUACUGGGUCAAAUGGUAUUUCUGAUUCUAAGUCUCUGAGGGAUUGCCAUACUGUCUUCCAUAAUGGUUGAACUAAUUUACAUUCCCACCAACAGGGUAAAAGCUUUCCUAUUUCUCCAUAGCCUCACCAGCAUCUAUUGUUUCUUGACUUUUUGAUAAUCACCAUUCUGACUGGCGUGAGAUGGUAUCUCAUUGUGGUCUUGAUUUGCAUUUCUCUAAUGAUUCAUGAUGUUGAGUUUUUUUUCAUGUUUGUUGGCCACUUAAAUGUCUUCUUUCGAGAAGUGUCUAUUCAUGUCCUUUGCCCAUUUUUAAUGGGGUUUUUUUAAUGUAAAUUUGUUUAAGUCCCUUGUAGAUUCUGGAUAUUAGCUCUUUGUCAGAUGCAUAGAUUGCAAAAAUUUUCUCCCAUCUGUAAGUUUUCUGUUCACUCUGAUGAUAGUUUCUUUUGCUGUGUGGAAGCUCUUCAGUUUAAUUAGAUCCCAUUUGUCAAUUUGUGCUUUUGUUGCAAUUGCUUUUGAUGUUUUUGUCAUGAAAUCUUGGCCCAUGCCUAUGUCCUGACUGGUAUUGCCUAGAUUUUCUCCUAGAGUUUUUAUAGUUUUGGGUUUUCCAUUUAAGUCUUUAAUCCAUCUGGAGUUAACUUUUGUAUAAGAUAUAAGGAAGGGGUGCAGUUUCAAUUUUCUGCACAUGGCUAGCCAGUUCUCCCAGCACCAUUUAUUAAACAGGGAGUCCUUUCCCCAUUGCUUGUUUUUGUCUGGUUUGUCAAAGAUCAGAUUGUUGUAGAUGUGUGGUCUCAUUUCUGAAAUCUCUAUUCUGUUCCAUUGGUCUAUGUGUCUGUUUUUGUACUUGUACCAUGCUGUUUUGGUUACUAUAGCCUUAUAGUAUAUUUUUAAGAGAAAGACUUAUUUCUAAUAUAUCCUAAGAUAUCUUUCUAGUUUAAUAGUACCAGGUAUAGGAUUUUUAAAAGUUGAAUUUGAUUUACUUAAACCAAUAAUAAUAUAUUGAUUGAUUACUAUUGAAAGUACUAUUUUAAGUGCCUUAUAAAUAUUUUAUUAGUGCCCACCACAACCUGAUAAGUAAAGUAACUUAUUAUCCCCAUUUUACAUGUAAGGAAAGUGAUCCACAGACAGUUUAAGAUAGAGCUGGCCAAGAAUGGGGCUAAGAUGCAAAACUAGACAGGCUGAUUCAAGAGCAUGGAGGCCACAGUCUUUCCACACUGCUUCCCAGAAGGAGGGCCCCAUUACCACCAUUCACUUUGGCAAGGAACUCAUUUUUAUGGGUUUUUCUUCGUUCAUUUGUGAAAUGAUGAGGUUGGAUUUCAAGAUCUGUAAGGUCCCUGACAGAUUUGAAGUUAUAUAAUCUUUAAUGUCUUGGAACGUCUAUUGAAAAAGGACAGAUUGGACCAGGCAUAGUGGCUCACACCUGUAACCCUAGAGCUUUGGGAGGCUGAGUGGGGAGGAUUGCUUGAGCCCAGGAGUUCAAGACCAGCCUGUGCAACAUAGUGAGACCCAGUCUCUACAAAAAUCUAAAAAUUAGCCAGGCAUAGUGGUAUGCAUCUGUAGUCACAGCCCUUGAGAGGCUGAGGCAGGAGGAUCCCAUGAGCCCAGGAGUUCAAGACUGCAGUGAGCUAUAAUCCUUACUGCACUGUAGCCUGGGCAACAAUGUGAAACCCCAUUUCUUAAAAUAAAAAAAAAAUUAAAAAAAAGAUAUUAACCACACAUAUUUGAUUUGCAUUCUCCACUAAAAUGACAUGGAUAUAUAUAAUAUGAUAUGAUAUGAUAUAGUUAAAAGUGACCUCACAUGACAAACUGGACAAGAGAGAAGACAGCAGGUCCAGAGAUCAUGAAUGUAAUGGCAUGGAAAUAAGUUGGACCCAAGUACCUGCAAUGAAUGACACCAAAGAAGAACCCAGUUAAAUGAGGCCUUGAGAGACUCAGCGCUCCAGCAAUGUCAGGGACAGCAGGCAAUGAGAUGAUGUCAUUGUAAAGAUCAUUGGGACUUCCUGGUCCUCCACCCCACUUCCAUUGUUGGAAGUCAGGUGACAGCUCUCCUCCCCUCCCACCCAGCCUCAUCCCCUUCUACCACUAUUGCAGGAAACUGAAGAUUAAUUUUUCAGAAAAAAAUGAGCCAAAAAAGUACCAAAUACACGAACACCAGGUAAAACAGGGGCCUGGGGAGAUCCAGCUAAACUUUUUAUAUGAGAUUCUGAGACCAUCAGCUAUCUUCCUUAGCAGCCAGGCAUGUGACCACUCGUAGCCCCCACCAAUGAGACACUGAGGUUUGACAGUGAAUGUUCUUUGAGGAAACUGAAUGGUUGUAAAGAAAAUACCUCCAUCUAUUGCAUUUGGGACUCCCCCACUGAAAAGGACAUCUGUCUUCAUGGGAAUCCACUAGUAAAUACAUCUGGCAUCAAUCUCUGCCCCCUGAUGGACACAUAACUCUUUCCCAUCCCCUCUUUUGGUGUCUCACUUAGAAGCAAGGAGCACAGUGUCUAGCAUGAAACACCAGAUGAAACAGAACAAAACAAAACUAACAAACCCUAAAAAAGGAACCCCAAGAAAAUAGAGCAAAACCAGAGAACAGAAGAAAACAUCAAAAUAUUAUGUUUAACAUUCCCAUGGAGACAGAAUAAAAUCUUGGUAUCUCUAAAGUAAGAACAAGAGUCUGUAACAGAAUAAGAGAAGACAAAUAAGGGGAGAAGAAAAAUUUCUCGGAAGUUAAAAAUAUAUGUACUGCAACAGACACACUUGCUUUUUCUAUCCAACAACCAUCCCUACCCCCACCACACUUUCUGCAUCCCAUUGCAGAGGCUGCUCACACCAGCGGCUUGCUUUCCCAGCUUCCCUUGCAGUUAAAAAAUGGGGCAUUUGACACAGUAAAGGGAAGACUACUGAGAGUCCUCCCAGAGGGAAUGGUUUACUUCCCUGAUGAAAAGUAGAUUAUGGGAGGAAAUCUUGCUCUCUUUAGCAAAAUGUUAUUUUGUCUUUAAGUGACUCCUGGAACUAUGGCAAUCUCCUUGGGUCAUUGAAAAGACAAGCAUAUGAAUGCAGCUAAUUACUGAGGAUGGCAAAGGGGAAAGGGACAGAGCCUGGAUCCUCGAGUACACCAUUGAGCUGAGGAUCUACAUACAGGGCAAUGAGAAGAUACACAUAUAUGGUAAUUGGACUGUAAGGGAAAAUCUAAAGUUUAGGUGGAAGAGAUAGCCUUGUCGGGAAAGAGAUGAUGUUAUUGAGGGUUCCAACAAGCCCUAAAUUGCAUAGCCCAUUCACUCGCCAAAUAGUUACACUCGUAUGUCAGUUUACAUUCCAGGUAAAACAGACAGGAAAUUGAAAAUAAAACAAAACAAGAAAACAAGAAAUAUACCAAAAAGUGGAAAAUGCUAUGGAGAAAAAGAGACAGAGUAGGCUGGAGGGGUUGUGGGGAGUGGUCAGAGAAGGUGUAAGUAGCGCCAUUGAAGCAGAGACUUGAAAGAAACAAAGGCUCCCCAUACAGACAGGGGAAGUCAGUCCCAGGAAGACGAAGCAGCAAAUGCAACGGCCCUUAGGUGGCAAUGUGCUUGACACAUUUGAAGAAAAGCAAAGGAGGCCAGAGAAGAGUGAGAAGAAAUUAGUCAGAGGUGACUUGGAGAAAUAAUGAGAGGUGAAAUCUUGUAGAUUCUGUCAGGCCAUUGUAUGGAGUUAGCCUUUUUCUCUGAGUAAGUAAGAAGAUUUCACUGGGUUUUGAGCAGAAUGUCAUGAUCUGACUUAUAGUUUAAAGAAUAAGUCUGUGUGUGGUGCUGAGAAUAGAAUGAAAGGGGUAAAGGUUGAGCAGGGAGAUGGCUGAAAAGAUAUUGCCGUAAUUGCAGUGAGAGAUAACGAUAGCUGGAACCUGGAUGGUCACAGAGGAGCUGGUGAGCAGUAUUUGGAUUCUGUAUAUAUCUUAUAGGUAAAGAGAAAGCCAUCACCCAUACGUGCUGAUGAAUUUUACGUUAGUGGACAUUGACAUGGCUGUAAGGUUUCUGGCCUGAGCAAGAGUAUAAACUGAGUUGCCAUUUACUAAAAUGGGGAAGAUUGUGAAAAGAGGAGCUUUGGAAAGAAAACCAAUGGUAUGGUUUUGGAAUAUUUUUCCUCCUAAACAUCCAAGAUAAGCAGGCAGUUGGAUAUACCAGUCUGGAGUUCAGGGAAGAGAGGCAGAGGAUUAAGAUGUUUGUUUAAAGGUGGUCAAUGUAUAGAAGGGAUUUAAAGCCAUGCUAAAGAAUGGGUCAUCCAGGGAGUGAAGGUGGAUAGAGAAGAGCUCUAAGGACUGAUACCUGGAGCUUCCCACUAUUUGGAAGCUGGGAGGACGAGAAGAAACUAGUAAAGGACUCUGAGGAGGAGCAACCAGGGAAUCAUGUCCUGGAAGCUGAGUGAAGCAAGGGCUGAUCAGCCACUGAAUGCAGUUAAUAGAACAAGUAAGAAGACUGAAUGUUGACCACCAUAGUUAGCAAGAUGGAUACUGUUGUUGACCUUGAUACGGGCCCAAGUGUCUUUAAGAACAAAGAACCAAUCAGGUUCAGCCAAGGAUGAUGUGUCAGCAGUAGCAACCUAUCUGGACACCCAGUUAUGGGAAGUGGAGUGAAACAGUGAAAGGACCCCUUGCCUAGGGAGUGGGCACAAUUCCAACAUUGCCUAUAGGGAUAUGGAAGCCAAAUGUGAGAAAUGGUCAUGAAAAGGAGAAUAAGAAGCUCUGAUUUUACCAUUUAAGUCAAGCAGUUAUGCCUUUUGAAGCUGUUAUUUAUUUGGAAGCAUGUUAAAGGAAGCUAGAGGACCCAUUUCCCUGUCCAAAUGUCAGGAGUCUUUGAAAAGGCAAGCAUAAUGAAGAGAAUAUGGAAACCAUAAACACAAAAUUUAGAAUAAAGACGCAUCUGGUGCAAAUUCAAAUAUCACAUGCUAAUUUUUGAUACCAAGUUACUGAAACUUUCUGAAUCUUAGUGUUCUCUUCUAUAAAAUAAGGCUAGCCAUGUGUGUCUCAUGAGAUUGUUUUUUUCAACUUUCAUAUUAAAUGCAAGGGGUACAUGUGUAGGUUUGUUACAUGGGUAUAUUGCAUGAUGCUGAGGUUUAGGGUUCGAUUGCACCCAUCACCCAGGUAGUGAGCAUAGCACCCAGUAGGUAGUUUUUCAACCCUUGACCCCUAUGAGAAGAUUUUUUUAUGAGUAAUAAUUGGAUGGCAUGUGGAAGGCCCCUAGAACUGUAUCAUCCAAACAGGUGAUCAGCAAGUAACAACUCUGAUUAUUCUUACAUCUUAGCUAGGCCUGAGGUAGAAGCUACUUGUUUUAAUGUGAGAAAGAUGAAGCAUUUGUUGACAUGAACCUAGUCAGAGAAGGAGUUGGCUAGAGCUGUAGUUUUAAUAAAGUUCUUUAAAAGGCAUUUAUUAUGGCCUAGACCUUGGAAGAAACAGAGCAGAGGUCUCAAGGCCUUAUUUUCUUGAUAUAUUCCAAAAUAAAUCUCACUGACUUCUCUUAAACUCUGCCCUUCAAACCAGAUCAUAGCAUGUAUAAGGUUAGGAUAAUAUCACACCCAUGGGAUGCUGAGGGCAAAAAAGUUCACCUUGCUGCCUGAGAGUGUUGCCAGAUGCCAAGAAGUACAUCUUUGUGAGGCACAAAAUGGCCUUAAGCUCACCUUUCUUCUGUGUUUUUCUUCUCACCCUUACGUAUUUUUACUUUAGAGCUCUCAGUACACAUGGGUGUUGGCUUUAUUCUCCCUAGUUCACAAAAUAGAAAGCAGAUAGCAAAUGCCUAAGAAAUAAUUUUUUGAGAGUACACUAUGACUCUCUUUUUAUUUUCAUAGUAACUCAGACCAAAUUGGAAUACUUCUAGUAGAAAUAGUCACAUUCCUCACUCUUGAAUAAAAUAUUUAGAUAUUUAGCAAAUGGAUUCUGUGUCCUAAAACAAUGUUUACUUGUGGCAAUGAUUAACUACAUUUUCUUAUUUAAAUAUAUGAUUUUGAGUCUUGGUUCUAUGAUUUAUUAUUUAUUUUCUAUCUGAUUUGACUGUGAAACUUGAUGGCAUGAAAGCACUUUGGCCAAGAUAUUCAUAGGGCAGUGUUAGUUUUGGAUUUCACUUUUCCUACUAGAGUUCAUGGUCAUUCAGUUUAUCAGUGUACAAAAAAUUACACAAAGUGGAUAUUUCCCAGAAGUCAAGCAAUUUCCCCAGAGGGAAAAUAAAAUUUCAUCAGUCCCUGAAUUUAAAAAUCUCCAAACCCCAUUUAAAAAUAACCAUAGAAAUCCUGUUUCUCCACAUAAGACUCAAAGAUUUGUUUGUGCAUCUUGAAUCUACAACUGCUCUGUGUGUUUCCUGACCUCCACUUAUAUAAGUUCUAGUCCCCAUUAGAGGUAAAUGGAUUCUAAAAUUUGCUUUAAAAUCAUUGCCAAAGUGGCCUUAUCUUUAUUAGUUUCUGACUAUAUGAUCUGAGUGAGAAUAUAUCAUAAUAGGGGCAUUGAAAAUCAUUGAGAUUAACUUGAAAGGAUUAUUUCUGGCAGAGAUGACAAUUUCUAAAUACUCAGAUAAGAGAUAUUAAGCUUAACUUGAUUCUAACCUCUUUGUUGUCAUGAUCAUGGUGGAAAUUUACUUAACCAAUUCUCUGGGACAAAGAAAUUGUCAGUUUGGGCCUGAAAUAGGUUAGGUUAGGAAUUACAGUAAGAAGCAUGUCACUAAUACCCAAUAGAGAACUUUAUUACAAUUUAAAACUGUGCAAUGAAUCAUCUUAUAAACCUAAUAAAUACAGAUGCAGUUACCCAAAGGGUCAGCUAAAAGAACAGUAAGAACCUCAAGACUGCCUGACAUUAUUCCUUGACAAUAUUACACCUUCCAAAAUGAUAGCUAACCUAAGCGAACCAACAUGGAGAAGCUAAUUACAAGGUUAUCUCAGCUUCGGCAUUGAAUUAUUCUGCUCAGUGACUUUGCUGUGAAAACUGGGCAGCCCUAGUGAAGUUCGUGUUUUCCCCAUAGAGUGGCUGCCAUUUCAAUGGCCAAUGGGGCUUAAAACUUUCAGUUGCCGUACUUGAAAUCCAUUGUAUUUUAUUUAGUGAAAGUAUUUUAUUAAACUGGAUUGUCAAAUCUGAUUUCAAAAAAUUGUAAGUGGAAUUUUCUCUAUUCCUGUGUCUGUAUUUUUUGACUUAGUAAAGGGACGGCUUUGGAAGUUUUUGAGUGGAAAGGUGACAUGAUAUGAUUUACGAGUUAAAAGGCUCACUCAGGACACCACGUUUAGGAGGGAGAAGCAAGGCCAGUUCAGUGGUGACUGCAGUAAUCCAGGUGAGAGCUGAUGGAUCAGGGUGGCUGAGUGGAGAUGGUGAGAAAUGUCAGAUUCUGGAUACAUUUUAAGCUACAGCCAGGAGGAUUGGAUAUGAGGUAAAAGAGAAUGAGAAGUGUUAAGGAUGACUUCAAAGUUUGGGAGACUAAUUGGGAGAAAAUAUUUGCAAAACAUAUGUCUGAUAAAGAUCUUAUAUCCAGAUAUAUGAAGAGUUCUUACAGUACAUCUGUAAGAACACAGCCCAAUAUUUUUAAAACAGGCAAAGGAUUUGAAUGACACUCUACCAAAAAUGACAGAUGAAUGGCCUAUGAGAACAUAGCAAGAUUUUCAGUAUCAUUAGUCAUCAGGGAAAUACAAAUCAAACCACAAAGAGAUGCCACCUCACACCCAGAGGAUGCCUAUAACCAGAAAGACAGAUAGGAACCGUUGUUGGUUGAGGAAGUAAAGUUGGAACUCUCCUACACUGCUGAUGGGAAUGGAAGACGCUGCUGCCACUCUGAAAAGCUCUUCAGCAAUUUUUUCUUUUUUUUUUUUUGAGAUGAAGUCUUGCUCUGUUGCCCAGGCUGGAGUGCAGUGGCCUGAUCUCUGCUCACUGCAACAUCUGCCUCCUGGGUUCAAGCGAUUCUCCUACCUCAGCCUCCUCAGUAGCUGGGAUUACAAGCAUGCACCACCAUAUCUGGCCAAUUUUUGUAUUUUUAGUAGAGACAGGGUUUCGCCUUGUUGGCCAAGCCAGUCUUGAACUCCUGACCUCAAGUGAUCCACCCACCUCAGCCUCCCAAAGUGCUGGGAUUAUAGGCAUGAGCCACAGCACCCAGCAGGCAAUUUCUUAUACAGUAAACCCACACUUAUCAAUGUGAUCUACAAUCAUACUCUCCUAUGUAUUUAUCCAAAUGAAAUGAAAACAAGCUUUUUUUUGUUGUUUUUUUGAGAUGGAGUCUUGUUCUGUCGCCCAGGCUGGAGUGCUGUGAUGUGAUCUUGGCUCACUGCAACCUCCGCCUCCUGGGUUCAAGUGAUUCUCCUGCCUCAGCCUCCUGAAUAGCUGGGACCACAAGCAUGUGCCACCAUACUCGGCUAAUUUUUUGUAUUUUUAGUAGAGACGGGGUUUCACCGUGUUAGCCAGGAUGGUCUCGAUCUCCUGACCUCGUGAUCCACCUGCCUGGGCCUCCCAAAGUGCUAGGAUUACAGGUAUGAGCCACCACACCUGGCCCGUGAAAACACUUUUUACACAAAGGCUGGUAUGCAAAUAUUCAUAGCAACUUUAUUUGUAGUAACUCAAACUAAAAACAAUUCAAAUGUCCACAAACUGAUGAAGGAAUGAAAAAACUGUGGUACAUCCAUGAUUGGUGUACUACUCAGCAAUACAAAGCAAUGGACUGCGUACAAGGAAUGCCAGCAGCAACACGGGAGAAUCUCGAGUGCACUGUGUUCAGUAAAAGAGCCACAUUUGAAAGGCUACAUGCUGUGUGAUUCCAUUUAAAUGAACUUAAUAACAGUUCAAAAACUUUCAUAACAGAAAGCAGAACAGUGUUUGCCAGAGGCUAUAAGUGGAGAGGAAGAAAGCAAUUAAAAAGGGGCUCAGGAGAGCUUUUGGGGGUGAUGGAAUUAUUCCACAUCAUGAUUGUAAUGAUAGAUGACUGUGCAUUCAUCAUAACUCAUUGAAUUAUAUUCUCAAAAAUGGCAUAUGUAAAAAAAUCGAAAGAGCUGAUUUUUUUUAAACAAGUAAUUCUAACUAUCACUGUUUUUAUUUUUGAGGUCAGCACAUUUUAAUUGGAAUUCGAUAAAGAAAUAGAUGUACAGUGCUUAAGCGGUCUUGAAAAACAUUACUUAGCUGCUGGGGAUGCUAAGGUGGGAAGAUCACUUGAGCCUAGGAGGUGGAAGUUGCAAAAAAAAAAAAAAAAAAAAAUUACCUAACUCUCUAGGCAUCUGUCUCCUUAGCAGGAAGAUGGAGAUCAGGGUGCCUGAUUCAGUAAUUUUUUUUAAAUUUUCUUUUUGAUUUGUUUUAAUCUGAAAAGUCAUGUGUAAUCACUAUUUUUGUAAAUUGUAUUGAAUUUUAAUUGCCUCAAGUUCAGCUUUUAUUUAAUGAAAUCCAGUGGUUGUUCAUUUUAUUAAGUAUCUUUUUAUAGUGAAAUAAGUGGGCUUGCAUUAUUUUGUAAGCUUGUAUUUUUGUAUGCUGGGUUCUAUUAAAGCUAGAUGGAUCUA